CCUACGGGAGGCAGCAGUGGGGAAUAUUGGACAAUGGGCGAAAGCCUGAUCCAGCAAUGCCGCGUGUGUGAAGAAGGCCUUCGGGUUGUAAAGCACUUUAAGUUGGGAAGCGGUACCGACAGAAUAAGCACCGGCUAACUCUGUGCCAGCAGCCGCGGUAAUACAGAGGGUGCUAGCGUUAAUCGGAUUUACUGGGCGUAAAGCGUGCGUAGGUGGUUUGAUAAGUCGGUUGUGAAAGCCCCGGGCUCAACCUGGGAAUUGCGCCGAUACUGUCAGACUAGAAAACGGUAGAGGGAGGUGGAACUCCAGGUGUAGCGGUGAAAUGCGUAGAUAUCUGGAAGAACACCGAUGGCGAAGGCAGCCUCCUGGGCUGUUUGACACUGAGGCACGAAAGCGUGGGUAGCAAACAGGAUUAGAUACCCUUGUAGUC
rnacentral:rRNA from 1 species